UACGAAGGGGGCGAGCGUUGUUCGGAUUUACUGGGCGUAAAGGGCGCGUAGGCGGCCCUCCUUGUCGCGUGUGAAAGCCCCGGGCUCAACCUGGGAACGGCGCGCGAGACGGGGGGGCUGGAGUUCGGGAGAGGAGCGUGGAAUUCCCAGUGUAGAGGUGAAAUUCGUAGAUAUUGGGAAGAACACCGGUGGCGAAGGCGGCUCUCUGGGACGGUACUGACGCUGAGACGCGAAAGCGUGGGGAGCGAACAGG
rnacentral:rRNA from 1 species